rnacentral:rRNA from 1 species
AUGGACAAGUCUGCAGGGGUUUGCCAGUCAGACUUCCAUGAUUGCAAAUUGUCGUUCCUGCAACUUAUAUGUGAUCACGAUCUUUUUGUUGAGAUGACUGACCAGCAAUAUUGUUCAGAGACUUUGGUCCUCCUCCACAGCGGGAUGCGACCUCCCUGGAGCAGCGGGUCGGAGGGGGAGAAGAUCUUGUUAUCUAUAGCAACGUUGAGUGAAUCACCGUCGAACUGA